GCUGUCGUCAGCUCGUGUCGUGAGAUGUUGGGUUAAGUCCCGCAACGAGCGCAACCCUUGAUCUUAGUUGCCAGCACUUCGGGUGGGCACUCUAGGAUGACUGCCGGUGACAAACCGGAGGAAGGCGGGGAUGACGUCAAAUCAUCAUGCCCCUUAUGACCUGGGCUACACACGUACUACAAUGGCCGGUACAACGGGCAGCGAAGCCGCGAGGCGGAGCGAAUCCUUUUAAAGCCGGUCUCAGUUCGGAUUGCAGUCUGCAACUCGCCUGCAUGAA
rnacentral:rRNA from 1 species